rnacentral:rRNA from 1 species
UACGGGGGGGGCAAGCGUUGUUCGGAAUUACUGGGCUUAAAGAGUUCGUAGGCGGCAUGGUAAGUAGGGUGUGAAAUCCCUCGGCUCAACCGAGGAAUUGCGCUCUAAACUACCGUGCUAGAGGAAGCUAGAGGUGAGCGGAACUGAUGGUGGAGCGGUGAAAUGCGUUGAUAUCAUCAGGAACACCGGAGGCGAAGGCGGCUCACUGGGGCUUUUCUGACGCUGAGGAACGAAAGCCAGGGUAGCGAACGGG